UUUCUUUCAAAGAUUAUGAAAAAAUCUUUUCACAGGAGGAUUCAUUUAAGAAAUUGUAUGCUGUCAUUAGUAAACUUCAACAAGAAAAUCAAAACUUGCUGGAAAAGUUGAACUUUAUGAAUCACUUAGAGAUUUG
rnacentral:sRNA from 1 species